GAGUGAAUCACGUUUGAUAAUAAAAUUGGAACGAUACAGAGAAGCUUAAAAUGGCUCAUACACAAGAAUGAUAUUCAUGGAUGGAUAAAUAAUAUAUUCUUUU